UACGUAGGGUGCGAGCGUUGUCCGGAAUUAUUGGGCGUAAAGAGCUUGUAGGCGGUCUGUCGCGUCUGCUGUGAAAACUCGAGGCUCAACCUCGAGCUGUCGGUGGAAACUGUCUGGCUAGAGUCCGGAAGAGGAGAGUGGAAUUCCUGGUGUAGCGGUGAAAUGCGCAGAUAUCAGGAAGAACACCCGUGGCGAAGGCGGCUCUCUGGGACGGUACUGACGCUGAGGUGCGAAAGCGUGGGGGAGCAAACAGG
rnacentral:rRNA from 1 species